UAAACAAAAAAAUGAAUACAAUGGGCCUUCAGAACAAAACGAGCCCAUUUCUCAUCUUCCCUAACCUAAAGAUUUGUUGUCACUGUAGCGCACAUGAAAACUAAUCGCAGGAGGAAGAACAGAAAAAAUUUGCAGCAAGAAUACUGAACCAGGAAGAAGAAUAGUUACAAUUAUAUCAAGAAAGAAGACUAGUUAUGGCUAUUUUGAAUGGCAAUAGAGGAAUAAAGUGAAGAUGUGUCACUGUCAUCCAACAUUAAAACUUGAAUUCGCGUUAGAUCUAACGCAGAAGCUCCGAUUUUUGGCUUCAGUCAGACUCGCGUUUUGGCUCUAAACGUAGAUCUACAAAUUCACGUUUGAGUUUGUCCAAACAUCACAGGAAAAGCUGGAAUCGCGUUUGGGGGGGAAAACUCGCGUUUGGAGCGUUUUGACGCGGAACCAAACAGACGCUAUAUAUAUUCUAGUUUAGUUCCUCCAGGAUAAAGCUACAAUCAUGGUGCUUCACAACCCUUUUUCCAAUAUCACCUUAAUGGCCUCCUUUCUCUUCAUCUUGGUGUUAUUCAGAAUAGUUAAAAGAUGGAGGUGUAACAAUUCCACCAUCAAUUUACCACCAGGACCAUGGACACUACCCUUCAUAGGAAACAUACAUCAGGUAAUCAGUAGCUCAUUGCCUCAUCACUGCUUCAAAGAUUUGGCAGAUAAAUAUGGACCCUUAAUGCACCUAAAACUAGGAGAGGUAUCAUACAUAAUAGUUAGUUCACCAGAAAUGGCCAAAGAGAUUAUGAAAACAAAUGACCUUACCUUUUGUGAUAGGCCAAACCUUUUUUUGUCCACAAUACUUAGUUACAAUGCUACUGAUAUUGCCUUCUCUACAUACGGAGAAUAUUGGAGGCAACUACGAAAGUUAUGUGUUAUAGAGCUAUUAAGUGUGAAGCGUGUUCAAUCAUUUAGGUAUGUAAGAGAAGAAGAAGUUUUGAAUCUUGUUAAAUCAAUAUCUGCAAGUGAAGGAUCAGUUGUUAAUCUCACUCAAAAGAUUUUUUCAACGACAUAUGGGAUAACAGCGCGGACAGCUUUUGGUAAAAGGAAUAUACAUCAAGAAGCGUUCAAAUUAGCAAUGGAGGAAGCUUUGAGCCUGUUGGGAGGAGUUUGUAUUGUUGAUUUGUAUCCUUCUAUUAAAAUACUUCGAAGGGUGAGUAGGGCGAAGACCAAACUUGAAAAGGCUCAAAGAGCUCUGGAUAUGAUAUUGCAAGACAUCAUCGAUGAUCAUAAAAGAAGUCGUAGAGAAGAAAGCAAGGAUGAAGAUCUAGUUGAUGUUCUUCUUAAUAUUCAACAAGAAAAUUAUCACUCACAGCAUCCCUUGACCGAUGAUAAUUUGAAAGCAGUCAUCCAGGACUUGUUCACUGGUGGUGGCGAAACAUCGCCAGGGGCUGUAUUAUGGGGAAUGUCUGAGAUGGUAAAAAACCCAAAAGUGAUGGAAGAAGCACAUGCUGAGGUAAGAAGAGUUUUUGAUGGAAAGGGUUUUGUGGACGAGACAGAAUUACACCAAUUGAUAUACUUAAAGUCUGUCAUCAAAGAAACUAUGAGGCUACAUCCUACCCUACCACUGUUAGUUCCAAGAGAAAGUAGAGAGAGAUGCCAAAUCAAUGGAUAUGAGAUCCCAGCAAAGACUAGGGUCAUGGUUAACGCUUGGGCUAUUGGAAGAGAUCCAAAGUAUUGGGUUGAAGCUGAGAGUUUUAAACCUGAAAGGUUUGUAAAUAGCCCUAUUGAUUUCAAAGGCACAAACUUUGAAUAUAUACCAUUUGGUGCGGGAAGGAGGAUCUGUCCUGGCAUUGAAUUUGCCAUAUCCAUCGUUGAACUACCUCUUGCUCAGUUACUUUACCACUUUGAUUGGAAACUUCCCAAUGGAAUGAAGAAUGAAGAACUUGAUAUGACUGAGUCAUUUGGGAUUACUGUAGGAAGAAAACAGGAUCUAUGUUUGAUUCCAAUUACUCGUCGUACUUAAUACAUAUGUUGCCUAAAAAUACAUGUUAACAAGUGUUAAAUUUGCUUAUACUAUUUCAGUAUUUGGCAAUUGGAGAAUAUUUUGCACAGACACAUUGGAGGAACUGUCGUGAUCACACAUUGGAGACACAUUGACAGAUUUCAAGUCUCCGGUAAUUGGAAUAGCUUAUGGAAAGUUAAAGCACCUCCAAAGAUUCAACAAUUCUUGUACAGAAUGUUUACCAACGCGAACCAGACUGCAUUAUUGUCAAGUGAAGUGUUCCAUAAUUUUUCUGAUCAGCUCUGCAGAGACUGUAAAUGACUGGCACAUUUUAUUCGGCCACGGGACAAGCAGAAAUUAUUGAGAGAGGGCGCGGACUGUCACGGAUUCUGCAGAAGCGUCUGCAAAGUUGUUCGAAUGUAAAAGAUGUUCUAAAGAAUGUGUGUAGUAAGGACAAUAGGAUAGGUGUUGGCUGGACAUGUUCCUAUGGUUGUGUCGGUGUUGUGGAAUAAUAGGAAUAAUUGGCUUUGGAGAAGCA